rnacentral:rRNA from 1 species
GGUUAAGCGACUAAGCGUACACGGUGGAUGCCCUGGCAGUCAGAGGCGAUGAAGGACGUGCUAAUCUGCGAUAAGCGUCGGUAAGGUGAUAUGAACCGUUAUAACCGGCGAUUUCCGAAUGGGGAAACCCAGUGUGAUUCGUCACACUAUCAUUAACUGAAUCCAUAGGUUAAUGAGGCGAACCGGGGGAACUGAAACAUCUAAGUACCCCGAGGAAAAGAAAUCAACCGAGAUUCCCCCAGUAGCGGCGAGCGAACGGGGAGGAGCCCAGAGCCUGAAUCAGUGUGUGUGUUAGUGGAAGCGUCUGGAAAGGCGCGCGAUACAGGGUGACAGCCCCGUACACAAAAAUGCACAUACUGUGAGCUCGAUGAGUAGGGCGGGACACGUGGUAUCCUGUCUGAAUAUGGGGGGACCAUCCUCCAAGGCUAAAUACUCCUGACUGACCGAUAGUGAACCAGUACCGUGAGGGAAAGGCGAAAAGAACCCCGGCGAGGGGAGUGAAAAAGAACCUGAAACCGUGUACGUACAAGCAGUGGGAGCCUCUUUAUGGGGUGACUGCGUACCUUUUGUAUAAUGGGUCAGCGACUUAUAUUCUGUAGCAAGGUUAACCGAAUAGGGGAGCCGAAGGGAAACCGAGUCUUAACUGGGCGUUAAGUUGCAGGGUAUAGACCCGAAACCCGGUGAUCUAGCCAUGGGCAGGUUGAAGGUUGGGUAACACUAACUGGAGGACCGAACCGACUAAUGUUGAAAAAUUAGCGGAUGACUUGUGGCUGGGGGUGAAAGGCCAAUCAAACCGGGAGAUAGCUGGUUCUCCCCGAAAGCUAUUUAGGUAGCGCCUCGUGAAUUCAUCUCCGGGGGUAGAGCACUGUUUCGGCAAGGGGGUCAUCCCGACUUACCAACCCGAUGCAAACUGCGAAUACCGGAGAAUGUUAUCACGGGAGACACACGGCGGGUGCUAACGUCCGUCGUGAAGAGGGAAACAACCCAGACCGCCAGCUAAGGUCCCAAAGUCAUGGUUAAGUGGGAAACGAUGUGGGAAGGCCCAGACAGCCAGGAUGUUGGCUUAGAAGCAGCCAUCAUUUAAAGAAAGCGUAAUAGCUCACUGGUCGAGUCGGCCUGCGCGGAAGAUGUAACGGGGCUAAACCAUGCACCGAAGCUGCGGCAGCGACACUAUGUGUUGUUGGGUAGGGGAGCGUUCUGUAAGCCUGUGAAGGUGU